rnacentral:rRNA from 1 species
CUUCCGUAGGGUGACCUGCGGAAGGAUCAUUACCGAGUGUAGGGUUCCUAGCGAGCCCAACCUCCCACCCGUGUUUACUGUACCUUAGUUGCUUCGGCGGGCCCGCCAUUCAUGGCCGCCGGGGGCUCUCAGCCCCGGGCCCGCGCCCGCCGGAGACACCACGAACUCUGUCUGAUCUAGUGAAGUCUGAGUUGAUUGUAUCGCAAUCAGUUAAAACUUUCAACAAUGGAUCUCUUGGUUCCGGCAUCGAUGAAGAACGCAGCGAAAUGCGAUAACUAGUGUGAAUUGCAGAAUUCCGUGAAUCAUCGAGUCUUUGAACGCACAUUGCGCCCCCUGGUAUUCCGGGGGGCAUGCCUGUCCGAGCGUCAUUGCUGCCCAUCAAGCACGGCUUGUGUGUUGGGUCGUCGUCCCCUCUCCGGGGGGGACGGGCCCCAAAGGCAGCGGCGGCACCGCGUCCGAUCCUCGAGCGUAUGGGGCUUUGUCACCCGCUCUGUAGGCCCGGCCGGCGCUUGCCGAACGCAAAUCAAUCUUUUCCAGGUUGACCUCGGAUCAGGUAGGGAUACCCGCUGAACUUAAGCAUAUCAAUAAGCGGAGGAA